UUCCCCUCCUGAUUCUCUUCCUCGUGCCGAUCCCCCUUCUCUACUGCCUUUGCCCAUGCACCGCCAACCUUGACGCCGCCUCCUCUCUUGCGAUGCCGACUCGCCCUUCUUCUCCAUCGCGACACCCACUACUGCUGACACCACGCCCUCCCUCGAUCAUCCUCCUCGCAUCGUCGCCGACCACCAUGGCCUGACGUCGGACACCGACCGCUGAACACUGCCUCAUCUCCUGGUCCGAUUCAUCACUGUUGAUUUCCCCUUUUCCCUUCUCGCGAUCUAGAUCCUCCGUCGGCCUUCCGCGAUUUCACUGGGCCACCCCGAUCCAUCGGUUUCCCCUUUCUUCCUCGGCCAUCUCCACACGGACGCACCCCGACGCCACCGCCGGCCAAGCUUCUUCCUUCCUUUCUCGGAGUCAUCUUCGGCCGAGAGAGAGAUCGGAGCUCUAGUUUUUGCCGGAGUUGUGUCUCGAGGUCCAGCACUAGAUUUCAGUUGUAGUCGGCAUCCGAGAGGGCUAUCUCUUCUCCAGAGGGAGGGAACUGCCGAUUUUGAGUUUGGUGGCCUCGUUGUAGCGUCAGCUACAAAUUUCUGGCAGCAAGUGCAUCCGGCUGGAAUUCCCAGCAACUGCUCUUUCCAGUCGUCAGUCAACAGGGAAGGCAUUGGAGUAGGGUAAGUUGUUGAGAAUCUGAUUCUUAUUUUAGCUCAAUUCGUAUUGAGGUUGGUAUGGUUACGGAUAGCUAAUUAUGUGGGUUCAGAACGAUUGAGGUUAUAUGUUGGAUUCAAUCUAGGCUUUGGAUUGGAUUCGAUUUAUUUAGUUAACCUAGAUCAAUGAAUAAAUUAAGGUUGAUUGUUAAUUAGGGUUUCCUAAUUAAAUUAGGAAUUUGAUUUAGUUAUUUGGUACGUGUUAGAGAAGCUAUAUUGUACGUUUGAUUUACAAGACUUUGAUUCGAGACGAGAGUCUCGACGUGGGAUCUAUCUGAUACGAUCUUCAUUUUGAGACGGGUA